UACAGAGGUGGCAAGCGUUGUUCGGAAUUACUGGGCGUAAAGGGCGCGUAGGCGGUUCGUUAAGUCCUGUGUGAAAUCCCCCGGCUCAACUGGGGAACUGCACAGGAAACUAGCGGGCUUGAGUUCGGGAGAGGGAAGCGGAAUUCCGGGUGUAGCGGUGAAAUGCGCAGAUAUCAGGAAGAACACCCGUGGCGAAGGCGGCUCUCUGGUACGUGACUGACGCUGAGACGCGAAAGCGUGGGGAGCGAACAGG
rnacentral:rRNA from 1 species